rnacentral:rRNA from 1 species
UACGUAGGGGGCAAGCGUUGUCCGGAUUUAUUGGGCGUAAAGAGCGUGUAGGCGGCUUGGUAGGUCCGCUGUGAAAACUCGAGGCUCAACCUCGAGAUGUCGGCGGAAACCACUUGGCUAGAGUCCGGAAGAGGAGAGUGGAAUUCCCGGGUGUAGCGGUGAAAUGCGCAGAUAUCAGGAGGAACACCGGUGGCGAAGGCGGGUCUCUGGGCCGUAACUGACGCUGGAGGAGCGAAAGCGUGGGGAGCGAACAGG